GACGAACGCUGGCGGCGUGCUUAACACAUGCAAGUCGAACGAAGUGGCGAACGGGUGAGUAAUACGUGGGUAACCUGCCCUCCUUUUUGGGAUAAGCCUUGGAAACGGGGUCUAAUACCGAAUAAAGGGGGAUGGGCUCGCGGCCUAUCCGCUUGUUGGUGGGGUGAUGGACGAACAAGGCGGUGACGGGUUGCCUGCCUGAGAGGGUGCACGGCAACAGUGGGACUGAGCUACGGCCCAGACUCCUACGGGAGGCAGCAGUGGGCGAUAUUGCACAAUGGGCGAAAGCGUGAUGCAGCGACGCCGAGUGGGGGAUGAAGGCUGUCGGGUUGUAAACCUCUUUCGCUAUCGAAGGGGUAGGUGGAGAAGAAGCGCCGGCUAACUACGUGCCAGCAGCCGCGGUAAUUC
rnacentral:rRNA from 1 species